GGGUUUUCACAUGCAAAGCUCCUAUUAUUGAACUAGUAGAUUAGUAAAGCAUAUUGGUCGAGAGAAGCCCGGCACUUAAUUAUUCAACACAGUUAUUUUUAGUUCUGUUCUUUCACUAUCUCUGUCCCCUUCAAAAAAUGGCAUGUUCCCAACUAACACCUGUCAGUUUUGAGGCACCCUUAAACCUACACCUUAUGCAACAAAUAAAAGAUCUUGUGCAAGAAAAAUCUUAAACCAAACAACAGCUCAUAGACUUCUACCUACUUAGCGAUUUGUAGACUUUCUGUUUCAGGACGUCAUCUGACGUCUUCCACAUCAGAAGAGGUUCUGGGUUCCCCACAAGCACUUGCCACCAGGAACGCUGCACUUCUGGAACAAAGGCCCCGUACCUGGCUGUUGCAACUUUGGGGCUGAACCUCAUUAAUCCUUGCUAGGUUCAGUGGUAAUUAUUGGAGAAUUGGAUGCUCCUCGGCCAGGGCCAGGAUCCUACAACAGUAUCUCUAGGCAACAUCUCCAACCUGAGAGAACUUAUUUCUGGACUCAUUCCUGUCCUGUAAACAGGGCUGGCGUGAGCCUUCCAAAGAUGCUGGACCAAGACCAUGCUGGAGCAUAGGGUACCACAAGCAAUGGUGGCCCAGACAGGGUUUGGACACAGCUACUGGAAGCAGAUGCACAGGAGAGAAAUGAAUAUAAAACCAGUUGGUCAUCUGCCUACCAUCUCAACUGCUUUCCCAGAGAGUCACAAUAUAGAAAGUAGAAGAACUUAGCCACUGUAAUUUCAUGUCAUUCCACGCAUUUAUUGAGCACCCACCAUAUGACAGAGGUUGGCCACGCUGUAUGAGAAGUCAGAGUUGGGUAAGACAAGUUCCUCGGCCACCUUGAGAAGCUCACCAUUUAGUGGGAGAAACAGACGCGGACACAAAAAACUAUAACCUGAUACAGAAGAAUACAACUGCCAAAGGAAAGAUACAAAUCAAGUGCUGUAGGAGGCAGGUGAAGGAAUGAUUCAUUCCCUAAAAGGAAAUUGGGAAGAUUUUCAUCAAGGAAGUGGUAUGAAAGUACGGGCAGGGUUUAGUUAGCUCUGUCAGGAAGCGGAAGAAACAGCACUCCAGACUGAGGGAACAGCACAGGCAAAUGCAUGGAAUUCUGAAAGGAAGGGUGGUCUAGGCGUCACAAUGAAAUCAAGUGAGGUAUGGGAUGUGAGCAUGAACAAAAGAAAAAUCACUGGGUCCCGGCUCUGAAACCCAGUCAUGGACAUUGCUGUUUCACUGUUCUCUUUGUUGGCUAGGUCACCUUGGCCUCUGUCCCUCAAUCAGAGCGAAAUCCCAUACUAGCCCUUCCUCCAGCGAGGCUGAGCCUAACCCCCAGCCAGGAGAGCCAACGGCGAAGGAACAG
rnacentral:lncRNA from 1 species